rnacentral:lncRNA from 1 species
AACUCCUGACCUCAGGUGAUCCGCCCACCUCAGCCUCCCAAAGUGCUGGGAUUACAGGCAUGAGGCACCACAUUCGGCCAAAGUUCUAUGUCUGGUCACAGCCAUUUACAUUAAUCAGAAUUCACAGAACCAUCCAUCUUGAAGUGGUAAAUUUGCUGCAUAGAAAUUAUACCUCAAAGACCAGACGUUCAAAAAUGCCUUUGUGUUUUGUAAGCUUCAACACUUGCCCAGUGGGAACCACAAAAGCGUUGCCCAAUUUGUUGAAAGCAUUGCUGUUAUAACUUCAACAUGUGGGGAGAAGUUAUGUUUUCAUACUGUCUUUGUCUGCUCUGGCCACCGUUACAAAACACCAUAGACUGGGUGGAUUGAUCAACACACAUUUCUUUCCCACAGUGGAGGCUGGAAGUCCCCAAGACCCAGGUUCCUGGGGAGGGCUUUCUUCCUAGCCUGCAGGUGACCAACAUCUGCUGUGUCCUCUUGUGACUCUUCCUCAGUUCCUGUGCCAGAGGGGUCGGGGGACAAGUGGGCGUCCAUCUUAUAAGUGUCCUCAUAAGGCCACCAUCCUGUCGACCAGGGCACCACCCUAUACCUCAGUCAACCUUAAUGACUUCCUUGGUGGCCCCCUGUCCCGUUGCAGCCAGGGUUAAGCUUCAGCGUGCAAAGUGAAAGGCCACACAAAUCUUUGUCCGUAACAAAUGCCCAGUGGACAGGACACUCGGGUGCCCUGAGGCUGCAGGAGCUGAGGGUGAUCUUGCUCAGGUACUUCUGCUGGUACCUGCUGUAUGGGAAAAAGUCUGUUCCUCCUGGCUGGUGUCAGAAGUAACCAGGCUGAAGCCAUGCUCUGAAAGAACCUGUGCAGGGAGAGAAAGACCUGUUUGAGACCGACCUGAAAGCUCUCCGAGGGGAAAGAGCAGGGGGUUCCAAUGAUUCCUGUAGUUUACUGAGCUCUUGAAAAGAAGCAACCGUUUUUCCUGACCUUGACACUCAAGCAUUUUUGAUGGUUCUAGAAGUACCCAUUUUCAGGUAUUAAAUACCUUUCUGUUUGAGAUACAUGAUUGUUUUCUAUUUUCCUGAAAGAAUCCUGACUGAUACAGUAUUUGGUACUGAAAGUGGUUCCAGGAAAUACAACUGCAAAGAUGGAGGGAAAUCUAAGAUGUGUUGUUAGGCAUGGAUUAGCUUGAAGCCAAUAAUGACCUCCUGGCUAGUGGAAAAUGGGUUUCUGGUAGUCCAUGGCAUGCAAUGUCUUAAGUUAUGGCCUGUCAUUCAUGGAAUCAAUUGCCUGUUAAAAGACACCAAGCACCUUUUUGAUAGAAUACUCUGGUGGAAGAGAUAAGUACAAGGGUUAAAGUCACUGAAUGCAAUGGAAAAUUUACAGAAAAAAUACAGAACAAAAUACCCCAACAAUCUCAGGGCUUUAAAAUUUCAACUCAGAGGUAUAACUCAAAAGCACUGGAGAAGCAUCAAAGAAGCUUCUACAACUGCCCCUGAAAGAAUCUCUUAUCGUAGCAGAAAUUGAACCCAGGGUUGUUCCUACAAGGUGGCAGAAUUACAACCUAACUUGAAUUCACAGCCUCUUUAGGUGCUUCCAUGAAAGGUGAUUAAUGGGGAAGGACUGUGACCAGGAGUAUUGCACUGGGAAACUUGGGUAUGUUAAGAUGAAUCAACGUACUUCACAACCUUAAAGUCCACUGAGCUUCCCUUCCUUUCUUUUCUGGGAACCUAGUUCCUUCUUGCUUGAAGACUUUGUAAAGACUCACCUGAAGAAAAUACUUUCCCAGGGAAUGCUGAUUCUCCCAUAGCCCACUACCCCCCAUCACCUCUCACAGCAGUCAUUAGAGUCAUGCCAGUAGAAUUCAUAGAAAUGAGUUCAAAUAUGACCCAGGAGAAGAUAGAAAACAUUAAAAUAACUGCAACAUUCUUCUAAUGUAUAUUUGUAGAAAUCUGAUGAUUAUGUCCAAGAAUGGAUUCUAAGGGACUUAGAAUUUGAUUUGACUGGGCCAAAUUUAUCAGUCUAGGUGCACUUAAGAGAAACUUUGAAUUCAGUGGUUUACCUAGAGCAGCUGGAAGUGGCUCUAUUUGGUUGAAGGACUAAAACCUUGGACCAAAAAAAUGGCCUACGUUAAACAGAGUUGCUUUCCAGUAUAUAAAGGAAGGAAUCCAAAGUCUUAGAUAAGAAUGCCAGAAUGGAUUUAUUGUGACCUGCUCCCCCAUCCUAUAACUCUAGUUUAUGAGAUUCCUGAGGAUGCUUUGUUAUAUCAGGCAUUGAAAAAUACAUUUCCAAGGAGAGCACCAGCAUCCUUGGAAGGCCCUGCUGUGGCCAUCCUCUGUAGGCUGGGGGUGAUGUAGCACAUACCCAUCUGGUGGAAAAUUGAUCGCAGUUGACCCCUUCCCUCAUGGAGUAGUCAGCAAUUUUCCAUCACAGUAGUAGAUAUUUCUUUCUUCUGUCUAUGGAUGUGUCUCCCAGGUCCACAAGGCCUUUGCUGCCUCAUCACACAAAACUUCCCAAAUGCCUGGUUAUUCAUCACAAUGGUUUUGCAUUUGGCAUUACUUCUUACAAACUGAUUAAAACGCGACAGAUUAAAAUGCAACAGACCUGAAGCAAUGCACUUGGUGCCCAUGGGAUUCACGGAUCUUCCCAUAGGUCCUACCACCCAGAAGCAGCAUGCCUGAUAGAACAGUGGAAUGGCCCAAUGAAGGUUAUGCAACUGAGCCUGUUGAGAUCUCAUGACAUGUGAGAAUGGAGUGCUCUUUUACAAAGUACUGUGUCUAUUAUGAAACACAUUCAAUAGGAGCUGAUUAUUUUAUGGCCAGAAUACUUGGAUUUGGGAACCAAAGGAUAAGAAUGGGACUGGCUUCAUUUACUAUUGCACGUAAUGAUCCACACCCAGUCAAGUUCUGCUUCUUACCACUGCAACUUUGAGCUCUGGAGGUUUAGAGACCUUAUUUCCCAAGGGAAGAAUGUCUCUACCAGGGAAUACGAUGGUUUAUUGCAUGGAGAGUUGAGACUGCCACCUGGACAUUUGGAGUUCAUUACACCACUAAGCCAAUAGGCAAAGGGGAAGGUUAGUGUCCUGGCUGAGAAGACUGACCCCUAAUAUCAAAGAACAGAGAUUUGCUCCACACAUGGGGACAAGGAGGAAUAUGUCUGAAAUCCAUUACAUCCUUUGAAGAUGCUCUUUCUAUUUCAUUGUCCAAAGGGAGAAAUCAGUGGAAAACUAUAGCAACGCCAUACAGGAAAAACCAUCAAGAGCUCAGAAAUGAAUGUCUGGUCACCCCAACAAAUAAAGAACAACAAUCAGCUGAGGUUCAAAUUGGAAGAAGGCCAAGUGUGGCCUCAGGAUCAGUUGCAGACUUGAGAACAAUUGCAGCAGCCUGGAUUUUCAUGUUGUUUUAUGUAUUUGUAUAUCCCAAUUUCCCUUUUUUCCUUCUUUUCCCCAAGUGUUCACAUUGGUUACAUUUAUCACUGAUCUUUAGGAUAUAAGAUUGUGGUGGCCAUGGAGGUGUACCACCCAGAUCUACUUCAAAAGAACCUGCUGUGGGAAGCAUAGUUGAUGACGGCCUUCAGCUACUGCUCUUCCAGAUCCAUCAUAGCUGUCACACCAACACUGCAUUUCUACUGAGUAUACCCAGCCAAUGGCUGACAGUGGCAGGGUCCAACUUUUCUUGAACCAUUACUGCUCAACCUGGCACCCUUUGCUCAGGAAUUCUCAUCAACCUGGUCCAGACUUUCUCAGACUUGCAAUGGGGUGUGAAGAUGCUCUGCCUCCUCCUGUUCCCAAGAUCCUUUUUCCUUGCCAGGCAUUUCCACCAAUAAAUCUCUUUCACAUAUAAUUCAGUCUUGGCAUCGGCUCUUGGAGGACCCAAACUGACAGGGAUGUGAAGCUGAGAUUGUGAUUAAACAAUCUCACUCAAAGAUGGAUAUGAUGAUUUUAUGAGACUUUUCAGAGAGGAAAAGAGUGUUCUGUUUGCAUAGAGAAUAGUCAUAUUGUGUUAGGAGCAUGCUGUUACUAUUCUUGUUUUCUAGAAAUUUUAAUAAAGAAGGUUGUGUGCAUACGCUGAGCAGCCAAAGUGGUAGGCUUGCUAGAUCGUGUUUCAAUAGGCACUCAAAUCCAAUUCCCCUAAAUCCUAAUUCCAUUUUUCUGUGUCAUGUUGCAGCUGCCUUACUCUAGUAUUGUGGAUGUGAUUUUGGGUGCAAUGAGAUGCACUUACUAAUAUCUGCAGUGUACAAUGCAGGCAGCAGCAGCGCCAGCUAAAGCUGAGCUCUGGUAGAGUUGGAUUGGAUUUUUACAGUGACCUACCUCUUCAGUGUGAUAUUUCCUCCUGGUCAUCAGCUACAGGCUGUGAGACAGCCCGGGGGAGACAGGGUAGCCAUGUUUCCUCCUACCUCCCAACCACUGGCUGGCGCACCAGCCUCCUGGCCUUAGGUCGCAGCCACAAUGACGUGACCUCCUAAAAUCCCUGGCAAGCUGGAGGAGCAGCCCUGCAACCAAGCCUGCUCUAAGAUAAGGGUUUCUGUUUACUAACCUAGAGCUACUCUAUUCUUUCAUCCUUCUUCCCCUUUCAACUGUCUCGCGCAAGUACUAAUGUUGCCAUUAAAUACGCAUUUUGUUUUGCAAAAUGAGAAGAG